AACAGCUGUCUCUUCAUUACCAACUCCUCCAGCUUGAUAAAAGCCAGUGUUCCUUUGUCAGAGAAAAGAGCUUCUUUUAAUGUCCUGUGUUGGUUGUUGGGGGGAAGGGGAAUGCACCUUGGGAGUGUUUAGGCAAGAGGCCUGCGGGCAUACCUAACCCGUAGUAUUUAAUCUGUCUAUGCACACUAGUGUGCAGGUGGUAAGGUGGUGGGGGUCAGGGAGGUGUGUGGGGUUUGCCUCCUCAGUGGAGGAGCCCUGAGCCUCUGUUUCCAGUGUCUACACACCUGCUGUCACUUCCCAAAUGGGAGGUCCAUCUGCUCUUCCUGCACCAGGCGCUGGGGCAGCUCAACAAAUAGAGAGGCUGAAUCCAGGGGCUUCGUGUGUGUACCUCAUUUCUCUCUCCACCUCCUGUACUCCCAGGUUGGUCAGACUUCAAAAACUCAGGAGCAGAGCUCCUCUGAGACCAUCCUACACAAGUAUGAACUAGACUUCAUCGUGGGAGAGCAGGGCUCCAAAGAUGGGGUCCUCCAGAGGGCUUUCCACAACACUUCCAGGCCUCAGAUACUCGGGGCAACUUUCAAUGAAACACACACGAGUUUAGCAGAACUCCAAGAUGGAUAGACUUUUGCCAAGCAGGAGAAAGAUGUUUUCCCCCUCCGCCAGUAUUUGGUUGCUACGGUGACCUGCUCCUCAAGGCCCCAAAAUAAGGGGUGAGGAAUGCGGUGCUGUGGACGUUAACGAUCGACGGGUUGAGGAAUAUGGUGCUGUGGAAGUUAACCAUCGACGGCUCAUGAAAGAAACCCUCUAUAUUUGGAGACUCUGAGCGGGACCACGCUUCACAGUUGGCAGCGAUAUUGUUUUUCUGGACAGUGUUUCAGCUUUGAUGGAUGAUGAUGUAUGUGUGCCAACAUUGAUUUGUAAUUAUGAACGUUGUAUGUGUGGGGUUGUGCUCUGUUGUGCCAGUGCGCAAGUAUAGCUGAAGAACACAUUUAAGACACCUCUAGGUGGCACUCAUAUGUCAAUCAAUCUAUGAAAGGCCCAACAUCAUGUAAAAACUGUCAUGAAACAUUUGUUGCAAUUCUCAAUGUACAGGACCAUUGGGACUCAAUUUCUUUAUAGGAGGCCCAUCAAUAGACUGACUCUGAAGGCGAGAGAAUGGGGGAAACUUGCCAAGGCACAAGGUCGGGGGAUGUUGCCAUUCCUUUCAUUUCCAAAACAAACAUGAGAUGUGAACAUUGUGAACCAGAUGGGUUUAAUGUAUCUGGUAUUCGAACAAGAUCAGGCCAGGAUGUACUCUGGCGCUGUUCAGCUCUACAAACCUCUGUCAUGUUUUCACUAUCAGGACUCUCAUAACAAAGCCUCCAUUAACACUUUAUAAAGCCUAUAUAGAUUGUGCCGAAAUCAUUCAUAAGUACAUGUCAUGGGUGGUAAAAAGAGUCAGGCCACAUUUGUCAAAGAACUACAUAUUGUUAUAUUCUCUCUGCAGAUUAAAGGCUACUGAUUAUGCCAGCCUUGCUUGCCAGGUUUGAGACCUACAGCAAUCUACAUACUGUAUGUGCAUUCGGGAAGUAUUCAGACCCCUUGACUUUUUCCACAUUUUCUUACGUUACAGCCUUGUUCUAAAAUGGAUUAAAUCUUUUUUUGCUUUCAUCAAUCUACACACAAUUCCCCAUAAUGACAAAGUGAAAUUAGAAAUAUUUGCAAAUGUAUUAAAUAUAAAAACAGACA